rnacentral:lncRNA from 1 species
CAGCAGGCUGCCAUGCCCAAGUACGCCUAGCAUGUCCAUCAAGCCACCCUAGAAUGUACCUCCUCCCAUGUAUACAAGCUCCCAGCCAAACCACCUUGUCAUUCAAAACAACCAACAUUGUUGCAUUCUCUUCAUUCUUCAUUUGAGGACUGCACAAGGAGAAGGGAGCCUUUAAUUCAUCCUGCCAAGUAUUCUCAAGGUAAGCUUGUCUUCAAUGCUCUACCUUCUUCCAUGAUUCCACCUGCAUUAAUGCAAAGAUCCAUUCCAUUAUUUCAGAAACACCUGCUGCUUGUUUUAUUCAACUGCAAUCUCCAACCAAAGCAAACUCUCAAGGCAUUUUACAGUUCACUACUCUCGUAUAUACAUUUCACACCCAACAGAGCAUGCUUCAAACAUUAGGAAAUCACAGUUCACAACCAACAACACAUUUAAGUUCAACUCCAUUAGGAAUACAGAAAAUGCGGCGCAUAACUUGAUCAGUUUCACAGAUGAUAAGAGAACCAUUAUAUGCAUACUUCACUGUACUCUAGAACACAAACAAGAGAGAACCCCAAGCUUCAAACCACAUGACAUAAUCAUAAUAGAAAGUUCAGUGCUUGGUGAUGUUUAUUGCAUAACCAUUUUGAAAAACGAGACUUUACAGUAGAGAUAUAGAUUGACUUAGCGUUUAGAGGGGGCGGGGCUACUGCGCUGUUCAGUCGGGCCGAGAGACGUCGAGUGGGAGGCGACUCGCGGGGACAGCAGCGUCGACGGCGUCG